rnacentral:lncRNA from 1 species
AACCACGGAGGAACUGCAUCCAUUUUCUCUCGGUGUCUUGUCCCUGGAACCUCCAGGAUGCUCAGUAGGAAGGAUGUUUACAGUGGGAAAGAACAGGUCCUUGGACUGGAAUUCCUGCCUCGAAGUUUCUUGGUGUCUUCUGGCAAAUUGAAGGGAGGGAUGGAACUGGAAGGUAAUAUGCUGAGUGAGGGUAGAGUCAUGAGUCUGAAGAGAGAAGCAGCAGCCAUGGGGACUCAGGAUCUCCUGCUUUAUAUUUAUAGUCUCUUAAUACCGGGUUUAGAGUCUCCUGUCCUGGAGUCCCAGUACCUCACGUUAACAAAACAUCUGGAUUGUUGCUUCAGUGAGGUCAGUAGGAGGUGGAAGUGGCAGAUGGGAAGUAAGGCUGAUGGGAAGUUCAAGCCUGUACAUUUCUUCAAACCUAAAUUGGCACAAAAUCCAUAAAUAAUUCAGAAACCUGGAAGUUGUUAAUUAUAUUGAUCAAGGCUACAACUCUUGGGGCUAAUUUUUCCCCUCAGCAUUUUACUGGGCAUGUCCUGCUGUGCAUCUUAACUGGAGUUGGUCUGUGCUGAUACAGAAACUUCAUUUUCUUGAGAGUGAAAUGUGCACACUGUGAAACAGUCUAGAGCCAGGAGGAAGGUGGAGAAAAGGCAGACUUUGGCACCACCUUCUGGAAGAUUCUGUUUUUACAUGCCAUGUACGAAUUUAUUAAAAUUGGUAAGAUCUUUUGUAUUCUGUUCUCUAAUACAUGGUCAGUUUUGAAAAUCUCUUGUAAGAAGAGAUAUAGGAACAAAUAUAAUAAAACAUUAGUUAAAUACUAAUUUGUCCCCUAC